CUGGUUUAGAGAAUAAACCACAUAAUCAGCUUUACUAGAUGAAUAUGUCAUUAAGGAAUGAUAAAAUGUUUAAAAAUGAAUCCUGCUUGGACCGACAUUUAACCUAUCUCUUCCAAGCACACUGUUCCUGAAUCGAACCCCCCCCACCUCCCCAAAAGGCACUAUAUAAAAUAUUUUACGUAACAAUUCUGAUAAAUUAAAUUUGUUCAGACUUAGCAGUCAUCAGAUCUAUAGAACAUUUUUGUUUUCCCUUUACAAAUUUUGCAAAAUAUCUGCACAGACAGCAAAAAAAUAAAAUUUAUUUGCUGUAAAUUUAAAGCAAAACCACAAUAUCAAGUAAAAAAAAAAAAAAAAAGUUUACACUUCCUUCUGUGUAUAUAUGAAUAAGAUAUCAGUUGUUCUGAGCCCAAAUUCCUUUCAUCCUAAUUAUAUUUGUUUAAGGAAGCCUGUAUGAGUGUUAGAUUCUUU